rnacentral:rRNA from 1 species
CGGGUGAGUAACGCGUGGAUAACCUGCCUCACACUGGGGGAUAACAGUUAGAAAUGACUGCUAAUACCGCAUGAGCGCACAGUACCGCAUGGUACGGUGUGAAAAACUCCGGUGGUGUGAGAUGGAUCCGCGUCUGAUUAGCCAGUUGGCGGGGUAACGGCCCACCAAAGCGACGAUCAGUAGCCGACCUGAGAGGGUGACCGGCCACAUCGGGACUGAGACACGGCCCAA